UCCAACCCUCGGUCCAGCUGGCACCGACUACACAUGCGCAGGAGGGCCAGCGAUCCUCUCUGGGUUCUGCGAGAGAAGUUAAAAAAAAUGUGUAAUGGAGCAAAGGAGUAGCAAGCUCAGCAAAUACAGCAGCCAUGGAAUCACUGAGCCAUCACUUUUGAUUUCGGCCAGGAAGCAUUUAUUGACUCUCUCCUAUAUGCCCAGUGCUGUUUUAAGACUUCUUUUAUUUUUUUUCAUAAAAUAAUAAAGUGCUAUUCCUCACCCCUGCCCAUGGCUGGUGGAAAACCAA